rnacentral:rRNA from 1 species
UACGGGGGGGGGCAAGCGUUGUUCGGAAUUACUGGGCGUAAAGGGUUCGUAGGUGGCUUGCUUAGUCAGACGUGAAAUCCCUCGGCUUAACCGGGGAACUGCGUCUGAUACUGGCGAGCUUGAGUGCAGGAGAGGAACGCGGAAUUCCAGGUGUAGCGGUGAAAUGACGUAGAUAUCUGGAGGAACACCGGUGGCGAAGGCGGCGUUCUGGACUGCAACUGACACUGAUGAACGAAAGCCAGGGGAGCAAACGGG